CCCCCCAGCCGCCAUCUCUUUUCUGGCGCUAGAUCUGGAUUCUUUCCAUACUCUGUGUGGGUCUCUUUGAGCCCCUCUCCCGGAGGCAACUUGCCUUCCUACCCUCGAGGUAGACUUUUCUCUCUAGGCCCGGAGUGGUGGUGGGGGGGUUAUUUCCACUGUCGCACUGCUGAAGCGUCCCCAGCCUACAAUUUCCGGCUCCAAAAUGGACGGAAAGCAGAGAGGAGGGGGUGCAGAGAAAGCUGGCCCGGGUACCCCCGCCUCCGCCCAAUGGCCGCUGCACCCGCCCCCCAAGCCGGUUUCUCACCGUCUGCUCUAUCUACAUUUGGGCUACCUUUCCUCGAACUCUCCCCAUCCGUACCCGUCCUCCCUCCCUCAUUCCAGUUCCGCAGGAAGCGACGAAAGCCUUCACGCUGACCUGAAAGAACCUGAAGCAACAAUGAAGAGUCCAGGGACGCCAGCGGUCAGCGUUUAGGCCCACAGCGGGAAGGGCGAGCUUGAGGACUGGAGCCUACGUCGCAGCCAGGCACGUCACGAGGUGGCCUGAAGAGUGAAGGUGUUUUGCUUUUAGCAAAGGCGACUUCGGGAUGGCUGUGCAGUGACGUUUCCUAUAUUGACAAGCCGGCGCAUCGCAGUUGCCGUGGAAACAUGACGUCAAUCUGGCGACCAUGAGGACGUUUUAAUAGAGACUGACUUAGUCUGCUCUUCGUGCGGGUGGCUGGACUCAUACCACGUGACUCCAGGGGGCGGGUUUUGAGGAUCUCUGUCCGGAUUGGUGCUGCUUGUACUCAAGAUUCGAAGGACAGCAGUCCUUAGGAGACCCCGACCCUUCGCUUUCCUGGUGGGAUAUGAUGCCUGGCUCAAGUGAGUUCGUAGAGUUGAACAAAAGCAUGUUGUGGAAUUGCUCCUGUAACAUCCACACAAGGUAGAGAAGCUACUAUAAUCUUAUCACUGGGGAACAGGUUUAGCAGAUGAAAUUUCAUUUCAUCAGCAGCUGAAUGCUUUGUAGUAACCCUGGAGGCCCCAUCUUAGAGAUGCCUUCUUUUGUCUGAAAGCAAUAAAUAGUCCAGCCUGAGAAAGGAACUUGAUCUUUAAUGUGCAUCUGCCUAAAUUUACGUAUCUUUUUCUGACUGUAUAAAUAAUCUUCAGUGAGUUCUAGGUUUCUCUCAGAUGGGUGUUGAAAUAUACAGUUGUUUAGAAGGCCUUCUUAGCAAUUUGAGAUUGUGAUACAAAUUCUCCCUAGUAGCCAUGUUUUUAUCCAUUCUGUGAUGAAAUUUUUUUGAGAAGUCAGAAAAUUUCUAAGUGUUAGUCUAACAUGUACAUUGCAAUUUAGUAUUUUCAAAAAUAAUAAUUAACCUGGAGUUUCCACAUGGUAAUGAUUCCCAAUCACAUUCCCUAAAAUAACCAGAUACUCUUAAAUAACAUUAUGACUAUUAUCCCAGGACAUAACAUUUUCAAUUCUGUACUUUACAAGGAGAGUGGGCAUCAACUUCCCCUAAUAUUUAGAGAUAACUCAUUGCAAAGAAUUAUUUCUCUUUUGAUCCUAUGUAUAUGGACCAAUUUUAUAAGAUAUGCUGUAUACCUGCUAAUAUGACAAAUGCAUAUUAAUGGGAAUUGUACUCCUUAAUGAUUAGAAGUUUGAAAAGUACAAAUAUAUUUCAAAUGCUUUAUUGAGGUAUGAGUGUCAUAAACGCACUGCACAUAUAUAAAAUUUAUGCUUUAAUAGGUUUUAAUCUAUCAUAUGCAUGAUACCAAAACUCCAGUCAAGAUAAAGAACAUAUCAAUUACCCCCAACAGCUUCCUCAUGAACCUUGAUAAUCCCUCCAACUACCUGACUCCAGCCUCCUUCCUUCCCCUUACUGUGCCCCAUUCCCAAGCAACCACUAAUUUAUUC